GGGGAAUGUAUAUCAUAGAGGUGCAAUGAGAAUAGCCAAGAAGGAAGAAGAGCGAUCGGAGGAAUAAGGGGGAAAGGAAGGAAAAGCGGAAAAAUAGACUGAAGAAAAAGUAGAUUAUUUUUUGGGUCUAAAGUUGCGAAAAAUUUCGCGAGUGAUGGUGAAAUCGUGGCUCACGCUAGAUUAAACUCAGGUUCGCUACCGAGUGAGACAGGUAUCUAUUGUUGAUGCGAAACCGGUGGCCAAUUCUGGAAGCGUUAGUGAACCUUUAGCUCGUUGAGCAAACGAAAUAUAUUUUUUCGUUUACAAAUUGAAAUAAAAAUAAUCUCAUUCGUUUGUUUAAACGAUUUGAGAUCUCUCACA